rnacentral:ncRNA from 1 species
UAUGAAGUUACGAUUAGAAAAGUAAGCGAUGAACUAACAUAAAGAGAGUCCCGGCGGUGAGAACGGAUUGUUGGUAUUGCUGAAAACACAUCUAUGAACUGGAUAAUUGAACCAAGUAGGUUGUCCCGCUAGUGAGCGUUACCACGGCUGCUGUAACUGUUCUUCAUUACUAAUGGACGACUAGUUGCAGACAGUGUAAGGUCGUUUCAUCGUGAGGUGGCGGCAAAAUGAGGUGGGACCGCGAGAAAUCGUCCUCAGG